rnacentral:lncRNA from 1 species
UGUGUGUUAAGAAAGCUGUUUUUUGCUCUCGCAUAUCUGGGGAAUAAGGUGUUUGUGUACUGAAGAGGGCAGUCUUUCCCCAUUUCUUCCCUCAGGCAUUCUGGUGUUGAAUUGCUUCAUUUUGGGUAACGGUUGAUCCAGGAAUUGAGCUAUAUUAAUGUGCUUAUUUGUUUAAAUAUGUAUUUUGUCGUUCUCAUCAGGGUAAUUGUGUUAUGCAAAGUAAAAGAUGGCAGCCUCGGGUCCCAUUGUGGCUUCAUUUCAAUUGGAACUGAUCGGCUGACAAGUUCUAAGUGAAACUGUGGAACUACCUGAAAUUACAUGCACAUGCCUUAUCUGCCCAAAGGCUGCGUUGUGUGCACUUGUUAUUCUUGAAGCUCACAGUGAUGUGAGGAGGAUAGAUGCGAGAGUGUGCGAAUAUGUUAUUUUUGACCUUGACUAUCCCCGAUUGGAGCGGUCUUCUCGGAUCAGCUGGCACAAGGAGAAUACAUCCUCCCAGCACUGUACGUCCAGCAACCCCGAGCAUGACCGGCAUGUUCGUGUCUUUCCUAAUGGGACGCUGGGGCUCCGCGUGGUUGGGAAGGAGGAUGCAGGAUGGUACGCAGCCAUGGUGUGCAACAGCUCCCAGCAUUGUCUCUGCCGAAGGCAAUUUCAGCUACACGUGCAUGGGCACCUUGUCAGAGGGCACGUAGGUGACUGUGUUACUUUUGACCUGAACUGCGUGCAGUCAGGCGGGUACGUCCAUGUCAUUUGGAGGAAGGACAACCAGCGAGUGGCCAAGAUAAAACAGACAGAAAAUGCCUCUGUGACCUACUGGAACAGAACCCGUAUGUUCCCCAACGGCAGCUUGAGCCGUUGCCCCACGCAAUGGGGGGAUGAGGGAGAGUAUGUGGCAGAUGUAUAUGCUGAGGAUGGCACGUAUUUGCAUCAGGAAACUUUUAACCUGGAACUGAACAGAGUGGAAACAUCCCAAGAAAUCACGGAACUGACUGGUGGAUCUGUAUUUUUGAAUGUAACGGAGACAAAGCUGAAACACUUCUUCCAGGUAGUCUGGAAAAAAGAAAACGCAGAAAUUGCUCGGACAAAUGGUUCUUGGUUUUGGUACCAUGAGGAGUAUGUUAAUAGGUCUGAGAUUGUGUCUCAUUACAGUCUCAGACUAGACAGGAUUCAGAAACAUGACAGUGGCAAUUAUUCUAUAGAACUGACUGACAGAGAUGGGAGAACUGUCUAUGAAUGCAUUGCUGAUGUGAAAGUUGAGGAAAAGGAGACAUUUGGAAGAAAUCUUCAUGUACCAUUCUAUAUGCUCAUAGUGUCACUAGGAGUUGUAAUUAUUACUGCCUUGGUUGCACUGAUAUGGCAUUUUCGGAAGCGCAAAGACAAAUCGGUUUGGAUCUCAGAAUCAAGCAUUCGACAUGCAAGUUUGAUACUUACAGAUGAAGGAGACAAUCCUGAGGGAUGUGAAGAAAGGAAUGAAAACAGUCUGUGUACACAUGGAAGUCCUAUGCAGGAACUAAAUGGUACAAGCAUCACUGAGCAAAGGAGUGAAGAUUUGCUGAGAAACACCGAAGAAGCUAACCCAGCAACAGCUGACAAAAUGGUAUAUUCCUCUGUCCAGAGAGUUAAGAUGGAGAAAGACCCAAGCUGUCAGGGCUCAAACUCUGUAAAGCUUCUGGCUUCAGCUAAUGGCAUGUAUGUUGCCCCAAACACUGAGAACACCACCCAUCCAGAAUCUGAGCACUGCAAUCCUUCAGGAUUUGAGGACUGCCUUUCACCAGGUUUUGAUCACUCCAUUCCCCCCAGUGUUUGAUGGCUGUGCUCCUGCAAAUGCAGUGAAGGAGACACGUUCUCUCAGUAUGCUCCUCAGAAAAAGACAUAUGCUCUCAGUUCUCUCUCAAGAGCACAAGAGGACUUCCAGAAGAGAAGUGGUACUGGAGAUUCAGUACCCAGUUCUUCCCAUUGAUUUGCCAGGAAAGACAUCCACAGUACUGGACGUGAGGUUUGGACUCUUCCUUCUCUCCCAGCUAGCUUUGAGCUAACCUUGCAAUUCUGCUGUUCCUCAUAUAAAUCUGAUUGUUUGCUUUCAAAAAUGGGCUGGAAGCCUGAAAAGAAAUCUAUCUGUGGAUCAGUUUGUUUUCCAGAGCUGAUGCCCUCUUCCCUCUGCUAUUGGUCUUCUGGGAGACACCAUGAGGAACCCCUUGGAAAGCAGUCAUGGUAAUUAUCCUCAGAAGAAUUCAGCCCCUGCUUCUCUUUGCUUCCACUAACAGAUGUCACUGUGAAAAGAGAAGGUCCUCGGGGAUUUCUGGAGGCCAGAACAGGGCUUUGACCUCAGUCCCCAUCUCCUCUUGGGUAGUCCAUACACCUGACUGAAUGGACAGAGGAACAGGGCAAACACCUUAAACAGCUCAAUGGACAUGGGAUGUUUGCUUAACCCUUCAUCUAACCCAUACAAUGUUAAUAAAACUGCAGUUUAACUUGGUAGAUAUAAGCA